CUCCGUUUGAUUGACAACAUCGAAUAUAUUCCGUCACGGCUCAGGAAGUUCGAAUAUCACAUUUCCGGUUUGAUUAAUCUAGUUUUUUGUUUUGUGCCAUAAAUAUGUAUUUAGUCGUGUCUAGCAGCGCAGUAAAUAAUCCGUCCUUAAAGCGCAAAUAGCAGAAGUUAAUAACUUUCAGGUAAUAAAUCAUACAUAAAACCGAGCACACUGUUUACCCCCGCACUUAAUUUUCUCGACGAAGCAAUAAUUGCAGACUUUACUGGAAGAAUUCCCAUCGUAGUUUGGACAUUAGCCUGUGUAAUUCAGCGUGGUAACAUUUAGUUAAGCAGCAUCUAGUGCACUCGCCGGGGAAUUAAAACACUUUAGAGACACGCGGACGCAGGAUAAGUCCGGAGACAUAGCGCAGUAAUAAAGGCUUAAUGUGUUGUGGUAGCACUGGCGCAGUGCGGGCGGGUAAAGAAUGGCCUCUUCUAUUACCUUCCGCCCCUGAAACGGCAACGACUCACUGACCAGCUGAAUUAUUAUCCUUCGCUAAGGACAAUUGAAAAAAAGGACGACGAAGCGUUGUGAAAAGUGAAAAAUAUUUCAGUUUAAAACGGCGACGCGACGCGACGCGACGGUGCUCUAAUUAUUAUCACUUCGUCGAACGGAAACAGCAAGUGCAUGCGAUUUGCAAAGGAAAAAGUGGGGGGUAAUUUACGUCCGGCCUUAAUUAAACUUCAUUUCGGGAAUGGUGCUUGCAAUAUGCACGACCUUCUUAUUCCCAACUUUUCCGUUUACAUUACCGAAACUGCUAUUGUGGAAUUUCUUAAUUGGGUGUACAAGUCAACAGAAUUGGUUCGAUAAUUGAACGAUCGAUGCGAGCUUAACUAAGUGGAGGUUUCUAGCAUCCUGCCAGGACAUCUCUGCAAGUUUUAUGCUCCUGUCAGUCAUUUCCUAGAGCAAAUGAAACGUCAGAAAGUAGAAAUGAAAAGAUAAAACCAAAAUAAGUUCUGAUCAAUUUUCAUAGUGUUUAUAAAAAUAAUCUGAAAGUGCGACUUAGGUGAAUGACUACAAAGUAAUGCUACUAUUGCUACUUUACCUGCACUUUCUUAAAGCAAUUAAUAAUUACUACGAAAUUUGCCGCAACCGAUCCAAAAAAGAAAUAGUCCUACUACAAAAGCCCCUUUAGAAGGCAAUUAAUUAUCGACACUGUUUAAAACACAGACAAGACAGAUAGCUGAGUUGAGUUUAUUAAUCGCCCAUUAACAAACGAGUUGAAUACAAUAUUUUUUCCUUGACCGCAAACACUGUUAUUCUGAGACAAAUUAUAAAAUUAAACCAAUUUUUUUAUCUUUUUCAUCACAUCAUGUUUAAUUUCAAUUUCAAAUUUGUACACCUGUCAUUAAAACUUACAGAUAUUGAAUGUUGCAUUUGGGCUAAUAUUUGUGUGUAAAUUGUGUCCAGGAACGGAUCCCCAGAAGCAACGAAAAUUUUACCUCACAACUCAUAACAGACCGUUUUGAGUUCAAUUUUGUAAGCAUAUUUCCUGACUCGAAAUAUGUAUGAUGGGAUGAAUUGUAAAGCGUUUUUAUGUCUAGAAGCCCCUUAAAGAAGUAGUCAAAUUUUUAAACGUAUUAAUAAUGUCCAUAAGUACCUACAUCAUUUUAUAGACAAAAUCAUUUAUUAGUACCUACGUAUUAAGGAAAAAAAGAUUUUAACUUAUUGUGCCUUUUGAAAAAAUAUCGGAGAUUUACACAAUUGAAAUAAAAUAUCUCGAAAAACGGGGUGGUCUUGAUUCGCAUAAUAUGUUGCAAAAAUUUCAAUGAAUAGUUAUUUUAAGUUAUGUGAAUCAUAUGUAUGUAAUGUAACUUUUUAUAGAAAACAAUAAUAGGUAUAAAUAUGUAGUAAAACUGAAAUUCAAUCAGCGUAUUACUGGAUUUGAAUACAAUAAUAAUGAUUUAAUUAUUAGGUAUAAUUAAUUAAUUAAUAACUAAUUUAAUAAAGAAUGAUUUAUGUA